AUGUUUGGUAGUAGGCAUAUCACUUUCUUAAAAAAUAAAUUCUUCCAAAAAGGAGAUAAUGGGAGAAAUAUUGAACUUAUGGAAGUUCAUGAUCUACAAACCAAUCUAGAAAUAUCUAUGGUUGAACCACAAGAAGAUCCUCAAUCAAAAGUAUCCAAGGAUGAGGUACAUCCACAAUACACACCCCCUCUCCGAAGGUC
rnacentral:lncRNA from 1 species